UCACUUGGGGUGCAGUGCAUAUACUAAAAUUGGAAGGAUACCGAAAAGAGUAGCAUGCUCCCGGCAUGAGGAUAUCAUGCGAGUUUGUGAAGGAGUUCACUUAGAG